UACGUAGGGUGCAAGCGUUGUCCGGAAUUAUUGGGCGUAAAGAGCUCGUAGGCGGCUUGUCGCGUCGGCUGUGAAAACCUGGGGCUCAACCCCGGGCCUGCAGCCGAUACGGGCAAGCUAGAAUUCGGUAGGGGAGACUGGAAUUCCUGGUGUAGCGGUGAAAUUCGUAGAUAUCGGGAGGAACACCGGUGGCGAAGGCGGCGACCUGGGUCGAGACUGACGCUGAGACGCGAAAGCGUGGGGAGCGAACAGG
rnacentral:rRNA from 1 species